rnacentral:rRNA from 1 species
CCUGAACGCUGGCGGCGUGGCUAAGACAUGCAAGUCGCACGGAGCCGGGUAGCAAUACCCGGUUUAGUGGCGAACGGGUGAGUAAUGAAUCGCUAAUGUACCCCGGAUUCUGGGAGUAGCCAGUCGAAAGGACUGGGUAAGUACCAGAUGAUAUAACCGCUUCGCAUGAAGUGGUUCUCAAAGGAAGCAAUCCGCUCUGGGAGCAGGCGAUUUCGUAUCAG